GACGAACGCUGGCGGCGUGCCUAAUACAUGCAAGUCGAGCGCUGAAGGUUGGUACUUGUACCAACUGGAUGAGCAGCGAACGGGUGAGUAACGCGUGGGGAAUCUGCCUUUGAGCGGGGGACAACAUGUGGAAACGAAUGCUAAUACCGCAUAAAAACUUUAAACACAAGUUUUAAGUUUGAAAGAUGCAAUUGCAGCACUCAAAGAUGAUCCCGCGUUGUAUUAGGUAGUUGGUGAGGUAAAGGCGCACCAAGGCGAUGAUACAUAGCCGACCUGAGAGGGUGGUCGGCCACACUGGGACUGAGACACGCCACAAAGUCAUACGGGAGGCAGCAAGAGGGAAUCGUCGGCAAUGGACGAAAGUCUGACCGAGCAACGCGGCGGGAGUGAAGAAGGUUGUCGGGUCGUAAAAGUCUGUUGGUAGGGAAGAACGUUGGUGAGAGUGGAAAGCUCAUCGAGUGACGGUAACUACUCAGAAAGGGACGGCUAACUACGUG
rnacentral:rRNA from 1 species